rnacentral:rRNA from 1 species
GGACGAGAAAGCCCUUCGGGGUGAGUACAGCGGCGGACGGGUGAGUAACGCGUAGGAAUCUACCUAGUAGUGGGGGACAACUCGUGGAAACGCGAGCUAAUACCGCAUACGCCCUACGGGGGAAAGCGGGGGAUCUUCGGACCUCGUGCUAUUAGAUGAGCCUGCGUAAGAUUAGCUAGUUGGUGGGGUAAUGGCCUACCAAGGCGACGAUCUUUAGCUGGUCUGAGAGGAUGAUCAGCCACACCGGGAGUGAGACACGGCCCGGACUCCUACGGGAGGCAGCAGUCGGGAAUAUUGCGCAAUGGGCGAAAGCCUGACGCAGCCAUGCCGCGUGUGUGAAGAAGGCCCUAGGGUUGUAAAGCACUUUCAAUUGGGAGGAAAAGCUAAUGGUUAAUAGCCAUUAGCCCUGACGUUACCUUUAGAAGAAGCACCGGCUAACUCCGUGCCAGCAGCCGCGGUAAUACGGAGGGUGCAAGCGUUAAUCGGAAUUACUGGGCGUAAAGCGCGCGUAGGCGGUUUUUUAAGUCGGAUGUGAAAGCCCCGGGCUCAACCUGGGAAUUGCAUCCGAUACUGGAUAACUAGAAUGCGGGAGAGGGAGGUAGAAUUCCAUGUGUAGCAGUGAAAUGCGUAGAUAUAUGGAGGAAUACCAGUGGCGAAGGCGGCCUCCUGGCUCGACAUGA